rnacentral:misc_RNA from 1 species
GAUGAAGAACGCAGCGAAAUGCGAUAAGUAGUGUGAAUUGCAGAAUUCAGUGAAUCAUCGAAUCUUUGAACGCACAUUGCGCCCAUUAGUAUUCUAGUGGGCAUGCCUGUUCGAGCGUCAUUAAUUCCACUUAAGCCCUGCUUAGUGUUGGGAAUCUACUCUAGUGGUGCUACCCUGGAGCUACCCCUGAAAGGGGGCUGGCCCGGUAGCUACCCUGUAGUUCCUCAAAGAUAGUGCGCGGAGUUGCGUGGUCCUCUGAGCUUAGUAACUAUACACCUAGCUUUUGAGUGUCCCGCGGCGCCUGCCGUUUAAACCCCAUCUUUUAAUGGUUGACCUCGGAUCAGGUAGGAAUACCCGCUGAACUUAAGCAUAUCAAUAAGCGGAGGA